AUUGAACGCUGGCGGUAGGCCUAACACAUGCAAGUCGAACGGCAGCACAGUAAGAGCUUGCUCUUACGGGUGGCGAGUGGCGGACGGGUGAGGAAUACAUCGGAAUCUACUUUUUCGUGGGGGAUAACGUAGGGAAACUUACGCUAAUACCGCAUACGACCUACGGGUGAAAGCAGGGGAUCUUCGGACCUUGCGCGAUUGAAGGAGCCGAUGUCGGAUUAGCUAGUUGGCGGGGUAAAGGCCCACCAAGGCGACGAUCCGUAGCUGGUCUGAGAGGAUGAUCAGCCACACUGGAACUGAGACACGGUCCAGACUCCUACGGGAGGCAGCAGUGGGGAAUAUUGGACAAUGGGCGAAAGCCUGAUCCAGCCAUACCGCGUGGGUGAAGAAGGCCUUCGGGUUGUAAAGCCCUUUUGUUGGGAAAGAAAAGCAGCAGGUUAAUACCCCGCUGUUCUGACGGUACCCAAAGAAUAAGCACCGGCUAACUUCGUG
rnacentral:rRNA from 1 species